UACGGGGGGGGCAAGCGUUGUUCGGAAUUACUGGGCGUAAAGCGUGCGCAGGCGGUUCGUUAAGUCAGCUGUGAAAGCCCCGGGCUCAACCUGGGAAUUGCGGUUGAAACUGGCGAACUAGAAUCUGGCAGAGGGGGGUGGAAUUCCACGUGUAGCAGUGAAAUGCGUAGAGAUGUGGAGGAACACCGAUGGCGAAGGCAGCCCCCUGGGCUGAGAUUGACGCUCAGGCACGAAAGCGUGGGGAGCAAACAGG
rnacentral:rRNA from 1 species